GAGCACUUUAGUUUGAUACCCCGAAACCAAGUGAGCUACUCCAAGACAGCCUUUUGGGCGCACCCGUCUCUGUGGCAAAAGAGUGGGAAGAGCUUUGAGUAGAGGUGACAGACCUACCGAACCUGGUUAUAGCUGGUUGUCCAGGAAUUGAAUAGGAGUUCAGCCCUUUGUCAUCUUUCCCCAUACGCUAGAAGCACCUUAAGCAUCAAAGAAGACAAAGGAGUUAGUCAAAGGGGGUACAGCCCCUUUGAAAAAGAUACAACUUUACCAGAAGGGUUAAGAUCAUAUCAUUUAUUAAGGAUCCGUGUUCUAGUUGGCCUAAGAGCAGCCAUCCACAUAGAAAGCGUUAAAGCUCAAACACCUCUCCGCCCCGACUAUUCGGACUGCAAACAUCUUACCCCCCUACACCUACUGGACCUUUCCAUACCCCUAUGGAAGAGAUUAUGCUAAUAUGAGUAAUAAGAGACCUUGCAUCUCUCCCCGCACGAGUGUACAUCGGAACGAACCAACACCGAAAAUUAACGUCCCCAAAAAGAGGGCACUGAAAAAUUAUGGCUACACCACAAGAAAAACAUCCAUCCGCCCAACCGUUAACCUUACACCAGAGUGCUUACAAGGAAAGACUAAAAGAAAAAGAAGG
rnacentral:rRNA from 1 species